UACCAGCACCCCGAGUGGUCGGGACGUUUAUUGGGCCUAAAGCAUCCGUAGCCGGUUCUACAAGUCUUCCGUUAAAUCCACCUGCUUAACAGAUGGGCUGCGGAGGAUACUAUAGAGCUAGGAGGCGGGAGAGGCAAGCGGUACUUAGUGGGUAGGGGUAAAAUCCGUUGAUCCAUUGAAGACCACCAGUGGCGAAGGCGGCUUGCCAGAACGCACUCGACGGUGAGGGAGUGAAAGCUGGGGGAGCAAACCGGG
rnacentral:rRNA from 1 species